UGAGGCCUACGGGGCGCAGCAGUGGGGAAUAUUGCGCAAUGGGGGCAACCCUGACGCAGCAACGCCGCGUGAUUGAAGAAGGCCUUCGGGUUGUAAAGAUCUUUAAUCGGGGACGAAUUUUGACGGUACCCGAAGAAUAAGCUCCGGCUAACUACGUGCCAGCAGCCGCGGUAAUACGUAGGGAGCAAGCGUUAUCCGGAUUUACUGGGUGUAAAGGGCGUGUAGGCGGGCAUGUAAGCCAGAAGUGAAAUCUGGGGGCUUAACCCCCAAACUGCUUUUGGAACUGCGUGUCUUGAGGGAGGGAG
rnacentral:rRNA from 1 species